rnacentral:tRNA from 1 species
GCUUCCGUAAUGUAGUCCGGUCAAGCAUGCGGGGCUUUCACCCCCGUCACCCGGGUUCGAAUCCCGGCGGAAGCA